rnacentral:ncRNA from 1 species
UGAAUUUACUACAAAGUAAGUGUUCUGGCCUAUAUUUCGUGUCAACCUCGCAAAUACAUGAAGAUCGCUCAGCCAGUCUUGAUAAACAGAACCAGCAUUGUAGGAUGAACCAAGCGUAACGUUACGGUGUCCAAAUUAACAACUCAUGGAGAUAGCAUGAAAGACGUUGAUUGCUUAAGACACCAGGACAGUGAACAGUCAAGCCGCAAUCCGCUAAGCAGUGUGUAACAACUCAUCUGUCGACACAACCCGCUCUUAAAAUGGAGGGUGCUUAAGUUGUUUACCUAUACAUCACAGCUAAGGUAAAUAGUAG